rnacentral:rRNA from 1 species
AACGAACCUUCGGGUUAGUGGCGGACGGGUGAGUAACGCGUGAGAAUCUGCCCUCAGGAGGGGGACAACAGCUGGAAACGGCUGCUAAUACCCCAUAUGCCGCGAGGUGAAAUGAAUUUCGCCUGAGGAUGAGCUCGCGUCUGAUUAGCUAGUUGGUGUAGGUAAUGGCUCACCAAGGCAUCGAUCAGUAGCUGGUCUGAGAGGAUGAUCAGCCACACUGGGACUGAGACACGGCCCAGACUCCUACGGGAGGCAGCAGUGGGGAAUUUUCCGCAAUGGGCGAAAGCCUGACGGAGCAACGCCGCGUGAGGGAUGAAGGCCUCUGGGCUGUAAACCUCUUUUAUCAAGGAAGAAGAUCUGACGGUACUU